rnacentral:rRNA from 1 species
GAUGAACGCUGGCGGCGUGCCUAAUACAUGCGAGUCGAGCGAACAGAUCAGGAGCUUGCUCCUCUGACGUUAGCGGCGGACGGGUGAGUAACACGUGGAUAACCUACCUAUAAGACUGGGAUAACUUCGGGAAACCGGAGCUAAUACCGGAUAAUAUAUUGAACCGCAUGGUUCAAUAGUGAAAGACGGUUUUGCUGUCACUUAUAGAUGGAUCCGCGCCGCAUUCGCUAGUUGGUAAGGUAACGGCUUACCAAGGCAACGAGGCGUAGCCGACCUGAGAGGGGGAUCGGCCACACUGGAACUGAGACACGGGCCAGACUCCGACGGGAGGCAGCAGUAGGGAAUCUUCCGCAAUGGGCGAAAGCCUGACGGAGCAACGCCGCGUGAGUGAUGAAGGUCUUCGGAUCGUAAAACUCUGUUAUUGGGGAAGAACAAAUGUGUAAGUAACUAUGCACGUCUGGACGGUACCUAAUCAGAAAGCCACGGCUAACUACG